GCUGGGCGGCGGGGCAGGCCCGACAGGGCGUCAAAGCUGCUCACGCGGUGGAGGUGCCUAAAUCCAAAAUGUAGAUCCUCCAGGGCCAGUUAAGUGUCUAAAUCCCUUUGCAGAUGCUGGUUUCGCACGUCCCAGCAAGCAGGCCCCUGCCCCCCUGUGCAGAGAGCAGCGGAAAGCCCGGCCUUACCGGCCAUGUGGACUGCCUGAACAAGGAGUGGGUUAACAGAAGCUGGUCUGGGGAAGCACUGAAUCUCUAGCUGGCACUGACUGCUGGGCCCCCAAGUGGAAACAGCCACAGGAGGUAUUGCCUUUGUCUACAUUGUCCCUUUGCUUGAAAAGGAAGAAAGCAGAAAACAGGAUUAAAGGGGAACAGAGGAGCCUGAAGUAGUUUGUUGCUACCCUGCUUCCAUCAUGAAAGGGGAAGAAUGCAGUUCUGUACAUUUGCUUGGGGAAACAGAUUAAUAAUCUGUUCCUCCUACUCCAGUCUUACUAAAACUAGAAAGAAUUUUCAAAAAAAGACUGAUUUUAUUGAACUGUUUAUUCUGGCUUAGAAUAAAAACCUUACUUUCAUGUAGCAAAGUACACUGAAGGUAUGCCAUGCUGCUAGUUACUGGGGGUACAAAACACCCCAAUUAGUAACUCAAACAAGUGGGGGAAAAGUCUCAUCAACUCAGACCUUCACAGCAUGUAUCAUUGGUAUUAUUUACAAUUUCUCUUGUUUAAAUAAGCCUGGGACACCUCAUACAGUAUACAUGGUUAUUGCAACAGUACAGCACUUGCCUUUAUGUUCAAAAACCUCAGAAGUUGUUCAGGACCAUGAUUUGUGGUUCCCAAAAAGGCAUUGUUGUUAACAUGCAAAAAACAUUACUAAAACAAUAUUAUCUAACUUCUACGGCUGCCAAUACUGGACCUUAAUAAGGAAACCAAUUACAAAACACUUCCUUGUAGUGCUAUACAAAAAAAGAUAUAAAAUUAAGAUAAGAUUCUAUCAACCACUUUUAAAUAUUCCAAUUUUCCAACAGUGCAGUUUUCCACAUCUUUACCACCACUGAACAUUGAGGAUAAAAGUUAACAAAAAUCAGCAAAUCAGAAAAUUUUUUUAAAUCUUUGGAUCCCUUUAUUCCUGUGGCCUUCAUAUACAUAUACAAACGCAAAUUACCAGAUUCCUUUUUCAAUUAUAACUUAAACAUUCCAAAAAGUUGUAACUAGUAAUUUAGAAUUGAGAAAAAAAAUCCAUACCAAGUCAUUUGUGGGUUCACUGGUUUAACAACCAGAAUUUUUAAUGUCUCCAAGCUAGAGUCUAUCAAAAUGCAAACAACUUCAAACACUAAGAAUUCUCUUUAAAUUGAUUAUGUCUACUGGUAUUACAACAAAGUUAACACUUCAAGAAUUGACACAUGGAGGCAUAUUUUUAUCCCAAGCAUUUUAGAAGGAGCAUAACUCCUCUCAUGCCUGGUCCAUUUUUUAAAAAGUGAGUAUUACCACAAAGUAAAAUUAAUUGCAAGUUCUGACAUGUGACAAAAUGUUUUAUUUUUUGUUCUUAUUUGAAAAAUCUUCUUAAUUUGGUCAAAUCCUGUGAUAUGCCAGACAUUACAAAAUGAAGUACUUGCAAGAAAGAAGAGUAUUCAGUUUUGUGUAAUGGAAGAACCUUUUCAAAUCUUCAUUAUAAUCCAAAUAUAAAAAUCAAACAAAUUUAAAGCCUGAAAAGCUACAAAGAAAACAAACUAACUCAGUGUUCUUUAGCAUAUCAAUUUUUGCAAUAAACAUAGUAUGUUUGCGGACUUAAAAAUGUUUAUUCUUUAAAAAAUUAGUUGCUUUUUAUACAGCUAUACAAAGUUUGUAAUGUUUCUUUGGCAAUGGGAUAUAAUGGAAUUUUACAACUAUAUAAAAAGUUUCCUUUGCCUAAGAAACAAUAUUUACUGUGUGUACAUAUUUGUCUGACAAAGCAAGUUUUCUACUGUCCAGCACCCUAGUUGACAAAAGUACAACCAUCUCAAAAGGGAUAUUACAGGAUUUCCAAAAAACAACCUUCAGUGGAUCAAAAUACUCACAGUAUCGACGGCCUUCUGCAUACAAUUGUCCUUGUAACUUGCGGCAAUUAUUAAAUACAGUUUAGUAAUAAGAAAAAUCCUUUCAGUGAUGAAAAAAUACUUAAAUUCCAUCGAAGUACUGCUUUAUAGCUAACUAUACAUAAGAAAUUACUUACCCUUCUAUCUCAAAUAUAUUUAAUGCUCCUUGUUUUCAAAGAUGGCCAUUUUUCAAAAAGUAACUGCAUUAACCCCCUUUGAAAUUAAAUAGUUAAAUCCCAGUGCUGGUGACAAGUAUACAGCAAAUUAACUUCAUUCUUUGCAAAGACUGAAACUAAUUCUCUCGAUCAUGAAGAUCUAGAAGUUCACCUGGUUCCAGCUUUCUUGUAGACUAUGCAGAAACUUUGUUGUCUUUCUAGAAGAGAUGUUAGAAUGUUAUAUUUUGUUCAAACAUAUUUGUAGUCAAACUAGUUUGAGAAUAUGGAAAAUGAUUAAUUGAUUUUAGAUGCCCCCCCCACACACACA